AGGGUGCGAGACGUUAAGUACGGAAUUACGUGGGACGUAAAGCGCAUCGCAGGCGGCCUAGUUAAGUCAGAUGUAGAAACGGCCCGGGGACUUUAACCGUACGGUAAGUUGCUAUUUAGAAACGUGGCAGGCUAGAGUCUUGUAGAGGGGGUAGGAAUUUCAGGUGUAGCGGUGAAAUGCGUAGAGAUCUGAAGGAAUACCAGUGGCGAAGGCGGCCCCCUGGACAAAGACUGACGCUCAGAUGCGAAAGCGUGGGGAGCAAACAGGAUUAGAUACCCUGGUAG
rnacentral:rRNA from 1 species